CCUUCUUGAAACCCUGGCCAAAAAGUUUGAAAUAGCUUGUUCUUCGCCACAUUUCAGUAUAUAAGACAUCUAAGUGCAUAAAAAUCCAUAAAGCGUUGAGUGGUGGGAAGGAAAUCAAACAAACUCUUCCCUCUCCGAAAUGUUAAAGGUAGCUGGGACCCUACAAACUGCUGUAUUAUUUAUUGCAGUGUACAAUGGACUCACUCCAUCACCAUCAGAAAUCUCUUGGUACAUAGCGAUAUAAACCACACUCUACAGAAACCCUGUCAUCUGUCUGCAGCUGACUGCAUGUGGAGGAAGGAAAGUCGAAGCCUUGCCUGCAGUGCGCUCAAAUUCCCAACCAUGACAA